CCUACGGGUGGCAGCAGUGAGGAAUAUUGGUCAAUGGGCGCGAGCCUGAACCAGCCAAGUAGCGUGAAGGAUGAAUGCCCUACGGGUGGUAAACUUCUUUUAUAAAGGAAUAAAGUGAGGCACGUGUGCCUUUUUGUAUGUACGUUAUGAAUAAGGAUCGGCUAACUCCGUGCCAGCCGCCGCGGUAAUACGGAGGAUCCGAGCGUUAUCCGGAGUUAUUGGGUUUAAAGGGAGCGUAGAUGGGUUGUUAAGUCAGUUGUGAAAGUUUGCGGCUCAACCGUAAAAUUGCAAUUGAUACUGGCAGCCUUGAGUACAGUUGAGGUAGGCGGAAUUCGUUUUGUAGCGGUUCACUGCUUAGAUAUCCC
rnacentral:rRNA from 1 species